AAGACUAUAGACCUGCGGAGUACCUGCGGAGGGAUCAUUACAGAGAACUUGCCCGUCUGGGUAGAUCUCCCACCCUUUGUUUACUAUACCUUUGUUGCUUUGGCAAGCCUGUCUUGUGACUACUGGCCUCCAGCUAGUAAGUGCUUGCCAGAGGACCCCAAACACUUUACAUUGUGUUGUCUGAGUAGUACAGAAAUUUUUAAAACUUUUAACAACGGAUCUCUAGAUCGGAAGAGCACA
rnacentral:misc_RNA from 1 species